GAUGAACGCUGGCGGCGUGCCUAAUACAUGCAAGUCGAGCGAACAGACGAGGAGCUUGCUCCUCUGACGUUAGCGGCGGACGGGUGAGUAACACGUGGAUAACCUACCUAUAAGACUGGGAUAACUUCGGGAAACCGGAGCUAAUACCGGAUAAUAUAUUGAACCGCAUGGUUCAAUAGUGAAAGACGGUUUUGCUGUCACUUAUAGAUGGAUCCGCGCCGCAUUAGCUAGUUGGUAAGGUAACGGCUUACCAAGGCAACGAUGCGUAGCCGACCUGAGAGGGUGAUCGGCCACACUGGAACUGAGACACGGUCCAGACUCCUACGGGAGGCAGCAGUAGGGAAUCUUCCGCAAUGGGCGAAAGCCUGACGGAGCAACGCCGCGUGAGUGAUGAAGGUCUUCGGAUCGUAAAUCUCUGUUAUUAGGGAAGAACAAAUGUGUAAGUAACUAUGCACGUCUUGACGGUGCCUAAUCAGAAAGCCACGGCUAACUACGUG
rnacentral:rRNA from 1 species